GUGCAAUAGCAGAGGCAGAGAUUGGGGGAGUGACUGUCUUUGGAGGCUAACCCUGUGGUUUCUGAUAGAACCUUCUUCUUCCUCCAGCCAGCAAAUGGGUUGCUCGGAAGAACAGGCCAGGCCCUGACUCGGAAGGAAAGCGUGGGAAGAAAAGGAAGAAAUAUGGAUGGAAAGUGACUGAAGUGCACGGUACCCUGAUCAAGAUGAAGAGGAUAAGAAUGGCUGGCUGCAGCUCCGGAGACCAUGCAGUCUUCAACGAACUUCAGACGGAUCCAGUCAUUGAAGGCUCCCUCGACACUAAUGUGGGGUACCAUUCCAGUGAUGAGACUCUCUUGACUAUGAUGGUUGAAUGUUUUGGCCACCUGGAAUUCCUUCGAGAGUGUAACAACAUGGUCCAUUUUCUCCUGGCACUGUAUAUUGCCUCUCAAAUGGACACACUGGACAUGUCAUACGAUUGGCUCAUCCUUUCUGCCCUUUUGGAAAGUAAUUGGUACGCAGACAGCUUCAGGAAAUUGUGGCCAUUACAGAUUGGAUUUCUUAAUGCCAUUGAUAGGAGAGCUCAGGUGAGCCGGGAGAGCUCAGGUGAGCCAGGAAAUCCACGAAGAGGUCAGUGAUGAGGGAAAUAUGCCAUUCCAUCUGUGAAGGCUUGAAUAAAGAGAUGACAACAUGCCUCCA
rnacentral:lncRNA from 1 species